AUACGUAGGGGGCGAGCGUUGUCCGGAAUUAUUGGGCGUAAAGCGCGUGUAGGCGGGAUUUUAAGUCGGAUGUGAAACCCUUGGGCUCAACCCAGGACCUGCAUUCGAAACUGGAAUUCUUGAGGGCGGGAGAGGAAAGCGGAAUUCCUAGUGUAGCGGUGAAAUGCGUAGAUAUUAGGAGGAACACCAGUGGCGAAGGCGGCUUUCUGGCCCGUACCUGACGCUGAGACGCGAAAGCGUGGGGAGCAAACAGGAUUAGAUACCCUGGUAGUCCACGCCGUAAACGAUGGGCACUAGGUGUAGGAGGUAUCGACCCCUUCUGUGCCGCAGCUAACGCAUUAAGUGCCCCGCCUGGGGAGUACGGCCGCAAGGUUGAA
rnacentral:rRNA from 1 species